GGGGACUAAAUCAGAAUGUCAACGGAAAGAACAUUUUUGAAGUGACAGAGGAAAUGCGCAAUGGAUUUUCUGUGCUUGCUGCUGUAUUUGUAGCAGGCAGCUUCAAUAUUACCGACACAGACACUGGUGCAUCUGUAGACAUCAGUGAGGAG